rnacentral:lncRNA from 1 species
UUGUUUUCUAAAAAGAGAGAAAAGAAAAGAGACAAGAUGAAAAAAAAAGGAGAAAAAAUACAAAAAAAUGAGAAAAAAAUUGUGUGAAUAAUGGAGUCAAGAAGAGGAUUGAAUUAGAGGGUUUGGGUGUUAUUUGACUGUGUUUACACUUGUUCCCCAUUGCUCCUCUAUUCUUUUUGGGUUGUAGCUUCUCAUCCAUAUUU